GACUAUUUAAAACUUUUUGUAUGUCAUUUAACAGAGAUGUCUUGUAGAAUUAAAAUCAGAAGGAAUGAAACCUCCAUUCCCGUAAACCUUUCAUAACAAACUUGAAAACAACAACUAAAAAUAUAUAUUUUCUUCAUAAAUCACUUCCAUCCACAUUCUUUAUGUACCUAGGCCUUUUGGUCUUGUCAAGCUAACAAGACAAACAUAUAAUAUAUUUUUAUAUCAAAGCUCGGAGAAAUUCUGAAGCUGUCUCCUGAUCAUCAGUGUGAAGUGGAAACCCAUGUUAGCAUUAGCCUACUGGGAAAAAGCUAAGGCUAGGGUCUAGGACAGUCACAGAGGGCUUGGGGUGGGGUCAGCUUUCCCCUACACCGAGGCACGGAGGACCACACAAGACAUGACGCUGUCUCAGAGAGGCAGGGUGGAAGAAAAGCCCGGGCCUCUGACUCUGCUGCUCACUCGUCUCUCCCCGGCGCCACCUCUCCCAUUUUGGAAACCUGGUCCGAAUGGCACCAUCCACCGGACAUUCCCCAAAUCAAGAUCAAAAGGGCCGGCUUGCAAGUGAACUCACCUGGAGCAGACAUGGAGCCUCCCUUGUGCCUUCCCCUUGCUCAGGUGGCAUAUCUAGAACCCCACGAGGCCGAAACAGAUGCUCCGGCUCCAUGUCCAGAACACCACGGGCCUGCUCUGCAGCCAGAGCCAGCACCAGACAAGGAGCCUCCUCUGGAGACAGGAGAGAAGCAGAAGCCAGCUCCACAGCACUCCUGCCUCUCUGCUGCCGCUGACGAGGACAGGUCCUUGCACAAGGUGCUCUUAGCCUUCUCUCCCAAGCUGCUGGCAGAGCAGCUGACCUUGAUGGGUGCGGUCAGCUGCUGAGCCCUGUGGGAUGGGGUGGGGCAGGGGACACC
rnacentral:lncRNA from 1 species